GAGCAUGGGAGCUGAGUUUAAAGGGAGAAUUAACUGGGUGCUGCAGGAGAGGGUGGGGUCAGAAUUGCAUCACGAGGCAAUUGCAGCCCAGUCUGAAGGGAAGGGUGAGAACCCAGCGCUGCUCACUUGAAGCAAUGACAGAUGGCAGCCUCUUCUUCCAGACCUUGGACUGGGAUGGAGAAGGGUGGGGUAGAAAGAAGGGAAGGGUGCAGUUUCCAGAAGCUGCUGAGUAGGCAGAAUAUUGAGCAAGGCCUUUCUUGCUGUAUUGAAGUGGUUUUCUUGAAUACUGUAUGACAUAGUACUAUAAUGCUGAUCAAAGUUAGGGAAAAACCCUCAAGAAACCUGCCUUACAUACAUCUUCUGGUGAUCUCACCUAAGUGUCCUUCAAGAAAGCCCCACAAAACAGCAAAAUUGCUGUGAAUCAAGAAAAGAAGAAACAACUUCUCUGGAGCGUGCUUGUUACUGAUCCUGCUGUCACUGUGAAUGCCCUGCACCCUGGUGUUCCUGAGGCUUCUCCUGGUUUAUCUACCGGCUUUUUAAAAUGUAUUUUAUUAUUUUGCACUUUGUUGAUUCCUCAACACAAAUGUCUGAGCUUUAAAGCAUCGUUGUAAGGUGAUCAUACCAAGCUACACUGAGCACAUCAGAAACCCUUUGUGUGAACGACAGAGUAACAUUCACCCAAGUGAACGAUGUGGUUUUUCUCCAAAGGAUUUCCUAACAGGAGUCUCCUCCUUUGAGCUUUUAUCACAGCAUUCAAAUGUAAAUGAUUUAGAUGCUUUUGCAAGUUGUGGAAUCACCUGUUCUCUGACAGAUCUCUUUCAAGAGGUUUGAAAAGUCAAGAAACCUUGGAGAAAAAGGAAAUCUAGCUUCGGUAAGGUGCGUGGGUUUGUACAGAGAAAGCUCAGUGAGCAAUAAUCACUGCUGCUUGCACUUGAUUAGGACUUUAUUCCAGCACUCAAGGGCCGAGCCUGCACGCAGAAUUUUGUGUGUUUGAAAACCUGAGAGCAGGACACCGAGAGAUUACCACGGAGUUUUCCUUUGAUGCCUGCCUGCUGCAGCAGUGACCCCGUUGGUACUGAGCGCUUGCUUAAAUGCCAAGUGAUUUCCAUCAGGCAAUAGAAAAGUGCCGAGUUUCCUUCCCUGAGCCUCUCUGAAUACACAGAUUACCUAACGAGCUGGCGUCUCUACCGCCCUGCUUAGGAGAGCGGAAAGUGGGAGGUCGAAUCACCCUGCUCGCUUUCAGUGCCAAACACGGGGAGCCUUUGCGUGCACGCAGCACCUCAAGAAACCCAGAGAGACCUGGGGGAGAAAAGAAAAAAAAGGAAAAAAAAAAAAAAGACAUUUGAGCACACAGCGGAGCCGAUCAGGACAACUGACAUCAGGGUACAUAGAGUUUUUUAUGAUGACUUUUCUACCCUUUAUCACAUAUUCAUCGUUCGUGGAAGGUGGUUUUUACCGAAGCCCUUCAUAUAUUUUUGGUUUCUCAUGACUCGAUAUCUCUCUGCUUCUGUCCCUUGCUGCAGAAGGGCAUCAGUGGGCACUAGAGACACAGGCAUUAUUUCAGCUACCGCCGUUCCUGGGCUGAAUCAAGGCUGGGUUGUUUUUGAAACGUCACCCUUCGUGUUCGAUUAGAGCAGUGACUGCAACACCCACCCGGAGCCCCCCGCCCUCCCCCGCAAAGCACAGCACACGCUGUUACCAGGAGGAAAGGCAGAGCAGGGCACAGAAACUCAGGGUCUGGCGGAGUUAGGAGACGUGCAAUGCACGUCUUGCACAGAUGAGAAGCAGCAUUGCAGCUGUUCUUGUCCUUUUUUCCCCCUCUGGAUUUUUUUUAAAGCAUUCUUAGCAUUUCUACUUUCUAGCUGAGGCUGGGUUCUUAGAAAAGUGAGGAAUUAUCAUCGCUUUUUCACUGUUGUUGGUUUCCAAAAUUUGCUUAUGCUCCUCUGCAGGCUAAAUAUGUUACUGGUUUGUUUUCAAAGAUUAAUCCAGUGUUGAGUCCCCAACCCCCUGCUGCUGUUUCAGUGCUGUGGCUCUCUAUUUUGGCUGCUACACCACAGCUUGUUCUUGUUGCUGCUCACAGCUACAUCUGUUGAUGGGCUGGGAGCCAUCUCCAGCUAUGCAAAUGCAGGAGCACCUUCUCCAGAUUUUAAUCCUACGCAGCUAACUUCUCCUGGAAUCCAGGAUCUCUGUGGAGGUGCCAGAUAUGCCUGCUGUAACUUGAGUUGGUGAUGUUCUUCCUCAUGUGCACAAGGCACAACACUGUUCUGGACUGAGUUGUGGUUCUGUGUUUGUUUUUAAACUUAACUACCACGGCUUUGUGAUUUUUGUUUUAAAUGUGGCAAGCUCGGUAAGCAUUGGCUAAAGACUGACAGAUGUAGGAUAUUUAAAAUUCACAUGGAACAGCAUUUUAUUACCUUUGGUUUAUUUACCUUUGAUUGAAUAGCUUUCAUUACCCUUCUCAUCUCUCCAAUAAUUUGUCAAUCUACCUGAUUGUAUCUCUGUGUUCAGAUUGUACCUUUCUGUUCUACUGCCAAUCCCCAUCCCAUGUACUUUACUGUAAACUUUAUCCCAUUCUACAUUCUACAUGCUCAUUAAAUGACCUUAAUUUUCAAACUGUGUUCUGAAGCUUCUGUGUGAUUGACAGUCAUCCUGCUGAGAUUUCACCUCUCCCCUUUUACACAUCCGUAGGUUUAGAUUGGGUAUUAG